rnacentral:rRNA from 1 species
UUAAAUUGAAGAGUUUGAUCAUGGCUCAGAUUGAACGCUGGCGGCAGGCCUAACACAUGCAAGUCGAACGGUAACAGGAAGCAGCUUGCUGCUUCGCUGACGAGUGGCGGACGGGUGAGUAAUGUCUGGGAAACUGCCUGAUGGAGGGGGAUAACUACUGGAAACGGUGGCUAAUACCGCAUAACGUCGCAAGACCAAAGAGGGGGACCUUCGGGCCUCUUGCCAUCAGAUGUGCCCAGAUGGGAUUAGCUUGUUGGUGAGGUAACGGCUCACCAAGGCGACGAUCCCUAGCUGGUCUGAGAGGAUGACCAGCCACACUGGAACUGAGACACGGUCCAGACUCCUACGGGAGGCAGCAGUGGGGAAUAUUGCACAAUGGGCGCAAGCCUGAUGCAGCCAUGCCGCGUGUAUGAAGAAGGCCUUCGGGUUGUAAAGUACUUUCAGCGGGGAGGAAGGUGUUGUGGUUAAUAACCGCAGCAAUUGACGUUACCCGCAGAAGAAGCACCGGCUAACUCCGUGCCAGCAGCCGCGGUAAUACGGAGGGUGCAAGCGUUAAUCGGAAUUACUGGGCGUAAAGCGCACGCAGGCGGUCUGUCAAGUCGGAUGUGAAAUCCCCGGGCUCAACCUGGGAACUGCAUUCGAAACUGGCAGGCUUGAGUCUUGUAGAGGGGGGUAGAAUUCCAGGUGUAGCGGUGAAAUGCGUAGAGAUCUGGAGGAAUACCGGUGGCGAAGGCGGCCCCCUGGACAAAGACUGACGCUCAGGUGCGAAAGCGUGGGGAGCAAACAGGAUUAGAUACCCUGGUAGUCCACGCCGUAAACGAUGUCUACUUGGAGGUUGUGCCCUUGAGGCGUGGCUUCCGGAGCUAACGCGUUAAGUAGACCGCCUGGGGAGUACGGCCGCAAGGUUAAAACUCAAAUGAAUUGACGGGGGCCCGCACAAGCGGUGGAGCAUGUGGUUUAAUUCGAUGCAACGCGAAGAACCUUACCUGGUCUUGACAUCCACAGAAGAAUCCAGAGAUGGAUUGGUGCCUUCGGGAACUGUGAGACAGGUGCUGCAUGGCUGUCGUCAGCUCGUGUUGUGAAAUGUUGGGUUAAGUCCCGCAACGAGCGCAACCCUUAUCCUUUGUUGCCAGCGAUUAGGUCGGGAACUCAAAGGAGACUGCCAGUGAUAAACUGGAGGAAGGUGGGGAUGACGUCAAGUCAUCAUGGCCCUUACGACCAGGGCUACACACGUGCUACAAUGGCGCAUACAAAGAGAAGCGACCUCGCGAGAGCAAGCGGACCUCAUAAAGUGCGUCGUAGUCCGGAUUGGAGUCUGCAACUCGACUCCAUGAAGUCGGAAUCGCUAGUAAUCGUGGAUCAGAAUGCCACGGUGAAUACGUUCCCGGGCCUUGUACACACCGCCCGUCACACCAUGGGAGUGGGUUGCAAAAGAAGUAGGUAGCUUAACCUUCGGGAGGGCGCUUACCACUUUGUGAUUCAUGACUGGGGUGAAGUCGUAACAAGGUAACCGUAGGGGAACCUGCGGUUGGAUCACCUCCUUACCUUAAAGAAGC